rnacentral:rRNA from 1 species
ACGGAAGGUCCGGGCGUUAUCCGGAUUUAUUGGGUUUAAAGGGAGCGUAGGCCGGAGAUUAAGCGUGUUGUGAAAUGUAGACGCUCAACGUCUGCACUGCAGCGCGAACUGGUUUCCUUGAGUACGCACAAAGUGGGCGGAAUUCGUGGUGUAGCGGUGAAAUGCUUAGAUAUCACGAAGAACUCCGAUUGCGAAGGCAGCUCACUGGAGCGCAACUGACGCUGAAGCUCGAAAGUGCGGGUAUCGAACAGGAUUAGAUACCCUGGUAGUCCGCACGGUAAACGAUGGAUGCCCGCUGUUGGUCUGAAUAGGUCAGCGGCCAAGCGAAAGCAUUAAGCAUCCCACCUGGGGAGUACGGUCGCAAGACUG